CUGAGAUUCGGGGGCUUUCUUCGGGGAGUUCAAGUGAAUCCGAGUCCUUCAGCGUGGCUCCGCCGCGUAUUUGUGUGCUUUCGCCCGGCUCCGCGGGCACUUUUCCCGCUGCUGCGUUCAUCGUACAACGUCGUUUCUUUGUUCCAAUGUGUUAAGCGUCUUUUUUUUCCCCUCAUUCUCACCCACUGUUUGCUGCGGUGUUCAGUGGGCUAGCCUCACGCGAGCUGUUAGCAUGUGUGCUAGCCAGCUAAUGAAAACGACAACAAAAUCAAGAAAGACUCCCGAGGACACGCGCUGGAAAGUGUCCGACUAAAACGGCGUCCCCUCGGAUUUGUUUUGCCCAAUGUGCUCCCGAAAACUAGUAGGGGAAGUAGGGCUGCUUAUGGGCAGUGAGUUGUCCGAGAAUGGACGCCGGCUAGCAAGGUCCGAGUGAAUCACGUUGCUUUGUAAACCUGAUGAAAAUAUUGUCGUUUGCCCUAGAAAAUUAGCCGACAAAUCUGAAAAUAAUAACUUUAUUCACGAAGAAAAAAGUACGAGAUUAAAGUCAGAUUUUUGGGGGGAGGGGGCAAUCUUGUGACUGAGAAUAAAGUUGUUUUUCUGUAAAAGAAAACAACUACUAGUCUUACAAAAAUACUCAUAUUUUUUUUGGGGGGGGGGUAAAAAAGUAAAAAUCUUACAAAACAGAAGUUGCUUUUCGAGAAAAACACGAGGAGUCUGAUGAAAUGGUAAACAAAAAGUGACGGGAAAAUGUAGUUUUAUGAAAAUAUAAUCGUAUUUGUAUAUGUCCAAAAAUAAAGUACUUUUUCAGGAAAAAAGUAUGAAUCAUACAAAAUAGGGCGAAAAGUCGCAAUUUUAUGAAAAUUAAGUGUUUUAUUCCGGAAAAGGUAAUAAUCUCAUCUGAAUAGUCAGAUUAAAAAAAUCUGUCUCAAAUUUUGUCUGAUUUUAUAAGGGGGGAAAGUAGCAUUUUUUUUCCAAAUAUAGUCUGUUUUUAACAAAAAAAUGUAACAAUCUUGUGAUGAAAAAAAAGUUUUUUUUUCUUUCUGAUAAUCUUACAUGUGUUUUUAUCAAGUACAACCGCUAAUUAGAAUUUCUGAUUGUUUGAGAAAAAUGUAGCUGUCCCACAAGAAUAGGUGCUGUUCACAUAUUGGAUGGUGACGUACUUUGAAGACAGCAUUGGACCGGUCAUAUGAAAGUUAUUGCAUGUCUUUGCGACAUGCAUAUUGCAUGGGGCGUUAUCGCGAUGAUAUAUUGUCCAGCCCUAAUUUUUUUUUACAUCACGUGGUGCUUGCAAUGACAUAAUAACCCGAUGGGCUCUGCUGUAGCUUGCUCCUUAAAAUACUGCUGUUGAUAAGUGGAACUUGCCAUGUAUACUGUGGGGAAAAAAACCCCUUUCUCUUUACAUACCCUAUAAAAAUGACAAAUGUGGCACACACCACUUGCUCACAGUCGCUCUGAAUUUUGUGCUCAAAGCCUGCUCACCCAGUGCCACCAGGUAACACAUCCGUGAUACAUUCACAUGUCAGCAUUGGGCUCCUAAUGGGGAAACUUGUACUUGUGAUUAAUUGGUGGGAAACGCGCAACCCUUCAUCGUGAAGGUGUCACAUUUUUCCUUGUCGCUGGCGCUCGCGUUUUUUUGAUGUUGUACAGACAAAGCUAUAUUGGAUGAUAAUAUGCUAGUCUCAUUGAAACUGUCCGUUUGUGUUUAUAGAAGUGUGUGUGCGUAUGUGUGUGAGGGUUUUUUUUCAGUUCAGGGGGGGAGGGGCAGCAUGUUAGAGGGCACUGGGGUCAGGUCUGGGUGGUGGGCCACCUGUCCGCAUGAUAUCUCUUGCUGUGUUUUUUUGUUUUUGAGGGUAGAAAAGGGUUUUAUAGAUCAUAUUAGGACUAUACAGAAAAGAAGGUAUGUUUUAAGGAAAGUUUCGAGAAAAACAGGCUCACUCUGACAAGAAAUGUAUUUGAAACAGAAAAAUACAAUCUUAUUAAGAGUUUUUUUUUUGCGGGGGGCUGGAAAGAAGUUGCACUUUUAUGAGAAUAAAGUAGAAUUUUUGGUUGUGAAUAGAGGCAGCAAUACUAUUCAAAUAUUGUAUUAUUUCAGAAAAUAGAAUCAGUCUUACAAAUGUAUUAUUUUUUUAAGCUUGCGAGAAUACGCCGUUUUAUAUCCACCCACCGAGAAUAAAAAGGACCAAUCUCGUGAAAAAUAUUGCCUAUUUUUUUAAUCGUAGAAUUUGUACAAGAAUAAAAUUGCAUUUUUUUUCUCUUUUCGCAGAAAAAAAGUUGCAGUCUUAGGAAUACAUUACUGAAUAAAAAUGGAACAACAUUAUGAAAAUAAAGUGUUUUGCGGAGGGGGCGGGGCAACAGUAGCAACAUGAAAAUGUAGACCUAUUUCUGGUAAAAAAAAAAAAAAGAAAAUCAGCAAUUUUAUGAGAAUAGUCUUCUUUUUUCCAGAAAUCUAAAAUCCUGCAGAAACAAAGUUGUUUUUAUCGUUUUUAGCGCUGUACUUAAAUCGCAUACAGCUCUCGUUUGACCAAAAGAGCAUCACAUCACACCACAGUGCAGCUUGGCGGUGGCAGCACCAUUUUUAGGGGCACUUUUAGUUCAGCUGUGACUAGGAACAGUUCCAAAUCCUCAUCACUGUUGGCACUAAACCUUAAGGCAUCUGUCUACAGGAAAGCAACAAAUGUCAGGAAAAGCCUACUAGAACGUUGAAACUUUAAGGUCUCAUCAGCGAUAGUUAAAAUUGUGGUGUUUUUUGACUCCCAAUUGACGUGAGUUUGAAUGUGAAUGGUUCAUUCUGACUUCGGCGUGGGCCGAUUGCCACUUUGGUGGUUUAUCGUGUUUUUUUUAAAAAGCGGGGCCUUUCAUUCCUUGCGUGUAUACGUUUGUGUCAGCGUGCACUUCUGCGGUCGAUUGGGAAGGUGGGUGCGGAGCUAGCAGUUUUGUGUGUGCGUGCGUGCGUCCAUUUCCCAUGGGUCCUCUCCGCUUGCCGGCUUCUCUUUUUCAAGAAAGGCGAGGUUCAGAGAGAGCAGCAGAUGUCGAAGCGCUGACCUUUAUGGUGGCAGAGGCUCGGCCCGGAGCUAAAAAGCCAGCGCCACAACAACCCCCCCACCUUGAGCGCCUUCCCCACCCUGUCAAAAGGGCUUGGAAGAUGGCCGUACAGGAGCACAUUCAUUGGCGUCCGACCGUUAGCUCACUGUCACUGCGGUCCGAAGAUUUAUUGAGAGCGAAUUGCCAUUCAUCUUGGUAUCCAUUAAUUGUUAUGACUGAAAACCCGAAUCUGCCACUGCCUCGGGUUUCAUGUUCAAAUUUCCCGAGACCAAAGCCACUUGUCAGCAAUGCAAUGAAUAAUCAAAUAACUGAAAUAAUUUGAUUGGAGAAAAAAAAAUGAAGCCAAUUUCUGCCGCCGAACCAUGAAGCAGGGGUGUGUAUCAAGAGAGACUAUGCACAAGGUUUGUGAUCGUUUCACCCUUAAAAAACCAAGAUAAAGUGCUAUGUGUUCACUUGGAAAGCCAAACCUGUGUACCACAAAAGCAGUCUAUGAUCAUGAAUCAAAAUGUAAUCCUGAUUUCAAUUUUGGCCUCUCCAUCUUUAAAACGUGUGCUUUAACUGUUAAUGACUUCCCAUUUGGAGUACACUGCAAAAAUAAUUGCACACAUUGUAUAUUGAAAGACCAAGACGUACGUCAUUUUCAAAACAUCGUUGGUGCUAAUGCUAAAAACAAAAAGUGAGACAUGGACUUAUCAGACUACAGAACGCUUUUGCACUUGGCACCAUCAUUAGGGCUCUCCGGCCCAGGGAAGCUGUUGACGUUUCUGGCUGUUGUUGAUAAAUGGCUUUCGCUUAGCAUAGCAUAGAGUUUGAAGUUGCCCCGACCGAUGUCGCGCCCAACUGGAUUGACCGACGUUGUUUUUCUGAAGUGUUCCUGAGACCAUGUGAUGAUGUCCAUGACACAUUGAUGUCGUUUUGUUGAUCCGGUUCCGCCUGAGAGGUCACGAGCGUUCAGUGUUGCUUUUUUGACCACACUGCUUCCGUGCAGGGAUUUCUCCAGAUUCUCUGGGGCUUUUGAUGAUAUCAUGGACUGUAGAUGAUGACAUGCAUGUUUACCUUGAGAAACAUUGCCUUUAAACUAUUCUACUACUUUCUCACGCAGUGGUUCACAAAGCGGUGAACUUUGCCCCGGUUUGUGAAUGACUCCUGUUCUUUUUGAGACAGUCAUGGCACCCACCGGUUCCCAGUUAGCGUGUUCACCUGUGGGAUGUUCCAAACAGGUCUUUGAUGAGCAUUCCCCAACUUUUAUCUUUUUUUUUUGCCACCCGUACCAGCUUUUUUGGAACAGCCAUAAAAUUCUAAGGUGAGGGAUUAUUUGUUAAAAACAAUUAAGUUGAUCAGUUCGGACAUUAACUACCAUGGCUUUGUAGCGUACAAGUUCAGUUCAAUACAGGUUGAACAUGAUUUGCAAGUCAUUGUAUUCAGUUUUGGUUUAUUUUUAACACAAGGUCCCAACUUCAUUGAAUUUGGGUUUAUUGGGUUAAUUGGGUUUAUCUAUGUACAUGUAGAAGUCAUCCGAAAAAAGAAACUAACCCCGUCCCCCCCUGCCCCCCGCCGGACUUUAAUGACUGGCUUCCAUUUUUAAGUGAUGUUGUGUUUCAUGUGUUAAUGUUACAGAUUGACUUUCGAGCCGCUCAGCAACGCAUGCUCGCCACCCAAGUGCAAUAAAACCCUUUCUGCCAUGACACGUGCCCCCCCCCCCCCAAAAAAAAGGAAACAUGGAAUCAAUCUCCAGUGUUGGGAAAACCCCAAUCGACUACACCUCCCACGGCGGACUGCACCCACUGCUAUCGCGUCUAAGAUAAGAAUGGAGUGGCAAACAGUAGGAGCCACCCUGGAACGAGUGUUUUCUCACUUCUCAGGACGUUCGCCACUGUGUCAUGCAUUCAAAAUGCAUUUUGUGGUUUUAUUAGGCAGAUAUUUAUCUUUAUUAUUUUUUUUACCGGUGCUGUGAACCCUGGCAUAGCCAUGAUUAGAAAUUUGCACUCAUCUAUUUGCUGUCCCCCCUCAGCCUUGGCAUGAUCUGACCACGGAAUGUUAUUGGAGUGAAUUGAGGCAUUUCCUUUCAACAAAAACAGUGCUGCGAUCUUGUGGCACCAAUACACAAUGAAAUUUCUUUCGGGUGGUGGCAGUGACUUGUGGAUUUUCACCAUUCGCAGCUUGGCCAUACCGUGUUGUACACGGUAUCGAAACAGCCGAUGCAGUUGAACCUCGUGACAACGUACCUCGAGGGACAUAACGAAUCUGUCUGUUCUAACUGUAAAACCAUGAACGUGUAAUACAGUCUAAACAUAUACACAAAUUCGUGACUUUGAAAUGUGAACGUUGUACGCUGAAACAAACCCGUGCCCUCUUUAAAGCGGCAAAUUUUGUGAGACGCCCCUUCCGGGCUCCCUGAGAUUGCAUCUGUGCCUGUGUCACGUUGCCUAUUAUGUUCCGGUGACAGACAGCCACCCGACUGGAGUGAGCAAAACUGAGGCUACAGCAAACGCUAAUGCUAGGAAACACGGCCAAGUGUGACUAAUAGCCCUGAAAUUGUGGAUAUUUCGGCUACCUGGUCGAGAACCAAGAUGGAAAUUGUUGCGUUCGCCAGACUUAUUUGCCGUAAGCGGUUCCAAAAAUUCCCCAAGUCACAUUGUUAAUGCGCCUAAAAGACACUCUCCCAAAAAGUAUUUGAUCGGGACAUGGAAGAAACCACAAGGCAUAGCCUACUCACGCUAGUUAUUUAUUCAUGUUAAUCAAUUAUAGAUGUUAUGAAUGCAUAUCGGAUUUCGCUGAGCGAUACGGUUUUGACUGCCAGCUACCCUAAUGCGUGGCGUGCAAAUGUAAUAAGUUGUUGCUCACAGCCACCGUUUCCUCUUCGCUCCUCGUCGAGUAAAGCCGGACAAUGAUUUUUUUUUGCAAGUCAGCCUGUGGGGACACCACCCCCGAGCGUUUACCCAGAGAUGACGCCCCCCCCCCCACCCCUUGCCCCCCACCCACUCCUGCUCCAUCAUAAAGUGAGAGCGGUGCACAACAGGGAGUUCUCAAAUGUCAGGAAAAUAGUCAAGGAAAACAGCAGCGAAAAAAGGCGCGUUUGGUUUCCAGGAAAGGUGCACUGCUAUCGGCGAAAUGUUUCUCCGCAUUGUGCGGUUGUUUAACUAAGGCCGCCGCGCUGUUUCACAGAAGAAUCCGCCUGGUGGCAUUCCUGCGGCCGUUGACGUCAGGAGCGUUUCUGGCGCUCCUUUAACAAUCACAAUGAAGUAACGGCCGCGGCUGUCGUUUUGCGGGACACUCCAGCGGAUUGUGCUUACAAGAACAAUGCGCCGGCGCUUGACACACUCUCGCGCAUGUGGCCUUUGGUUUAUCGCGGAACUAUUUAACCUAAGGCCGUGUCCGCACACAAACGUGUUACCUCUAAGUAGCCGGACACACAGACACUAAUGUCUAAAGAGCUGGCGACCAUGUUAGUAAGUGGAAAAUCGCCAUUUUUGCUUCCCCCUGAGUCGUUGGCGUAACACAGUCUCGGGGUUCAAAGUUGCAUUUGCAUCGGUCGUUAGUUUUAUUGUCGCGUAAAUGGAGUCGAAGUCGCUCAGUUUUCCUCGCGUACGCUCUCGUUAACCCUGGCCGUAGUUUGAAUGAAAAAUGGGCCUUUUUGAGAAUGUACGUUGCGGUACUUUUCUGCUGCCAGCAGCAUUUCUCCCUCGGCCUAUUGGCCCGGUGAACUUGUUUUCAUACGGAGCGAAGUGGCUGUUCAGGAAAGAUGGCUUGUUGAAGGGGAAACAAUUUGCAAGAGCAACAACCCCCCCCCCCACCUUGACGGCUGAAUGCCGAAACCAGACAACAGUUGAACUUCCACACGCAUACACACGCGCGCACGGAUUUGCCUCGUGCGAGUGAGUAUCUUCGCUCACGAGCCGCUAAGUGUUUGUUUCCCGCCGGCUUUUGCGCGCGCGACUCGGUGAUAAUCCGGCCCGUCUGUCACGUUAACGGUCCGGUUUCACAUAACGCCGUAUUUUGACCGACCGGCAUCGAAUUUUGAACUCGAAAUACGAAUUGACUCUUAACUUUGGUGUCUCUUUGGUUCGAUCUCUCUGUGGCCCCGGUACCAAAUGGCACACGGUGGUUGGGCGCCGCUGUGUUACAUUACAGGCUCGGCGGUGACAUUUGUUGUCGGGCUUACAACAUGUCGGGGGGGGGGGGGGGCAAAAAAUAACUGCGCCUACGUUGUAAUUAAAGUCCAAACAGUUUUGCAGAUGGCGCUUGUGAUGUUUCGGUGAGAGACGCAGCCAAGGCCACCGCACUCACUCAUUACGAGGGAAGAGUUCCGCUUUGGUCAAGCCCGAGGGGGGGGGCGGUCGUGUGCUGCAAACGCAUCAAACUGCUCGGGCCCGGGAUUUCUGUUCCGUUCCCUUUGUGGCUUCAGUUUUGCCACCUGUGACACUUGAGUCAUAAAGAGCAGCCACUCGUUCACCGAUCGUGAAAAUACGGUAGAUUUUUACGGCGUCCGUGUUUUACUUUCCAGAUUUCUUUUGCUGAAGAUGAUUUCAUUUCACUUAUCUAUCUGUACUUUCUACUUUUUCCUUUGACCAAAUAAAAUGUUCAAAUUCUGUGGAUGAUAUCACAUCUUAGGGGAGAAAAAAAAUAUUGUCUAUUCAUUAUUUAGGUCCUUCACCUUUUCUCUUUGACAAACCGGCUCGUCACUAUCAGAUGGGACGCCGUGGGGCAGGCAUGAUUGGCCAGAUCGAUGAUCCGGGCCGAUAUUUGGAAUUUUGGCGAUUAUUGGCAGCUGCCUUUUUUUUUUUUGUUUUUUUUUUUUCAAUUUCAUUUAAUGGCUGAUAAAAGCUAUUUUAUUUUGGCUCUCUUCCUGUCUAAUUGAUUCCUUGUGCAGUGGGUAACAGUCGUAAAGCUGCAUGUUUGCUCUGUCGUUU